rnacentral:rRNA from 1 species
UACGUAGGGUGCAAGCGUUGUCCGGAAUUAUUGGGCGUAAAGAGCUCGUAGGCGGUCUGUCGCGUCGGCUGUGAAAUCCCGAGGCUCAACCUCGGGUCUGCAGUCGAUACGGGCAAACUAGAGUAUUGCAGGGGAGACUGGAAUUCCUGGUGUAGCGGUGAAAUGCGCAGAUAUCAGGAGGAACACCGGUGGCGAAGGCGGGUCUCUGGGCAAUAACUGACGCUGAGGAAGCGAAGCGUGGGGAGCGAACAGG